GAAACUACGCCUACAUGAAGCUGGAGUUGCUAGUAAUCGCGAAUCAGCAUGUCGCGGUGAAUACGUUCCCGGGCCUUGUACACACCGCCCGUCACACCAUGAGAGUUGGCAAUACCCAACGUACGUGAUCUAACCCGCAAGGGAGGAAGCGUCCUAAGGUAGGGUCAGCGAUUGGGGUGAAGUCGUAACAAGGUAAC
rnacentral:rRNA from 1 species